UAAGGAAUAUUGGUCAAUGGACGAAAGUCUGAACCAGCCAUGCCGCGUGAAGGAUGAAGGCCCUCUGGGUUGUAAACUUCUUUUAUAGGGGACGAAAAAAGAUCAUUCUUGAUCACUUGACGGUACCCUAGGAAUAAGCACCGGCUAACUCCGUGCCAGCAGCCGCGGUAAUACGGAGGGUGCAAGCGUUAUCCGGAUUUACUGGGUUUAAAGGGUGCGUAGGUGGGCAGUUAAGUCAGUGGUGAAAUCUCCGAGCUUAACUCGGAAACUGCCAUUGAUACUAUCUGUCUUGAAUAUCCUGGAGGUGAGCGGAAUAUGUCAUGUAGCGGUGAAAUGCUUAGAUAUGACAUAGAACACCAAUUGCGAAGGCAGCUCACUACGGGAUUAUUGACACUGAGGCACGAAAGCGUGGGGAUCAAACAGGAUUAGAUACCCCCGUAGUCC
rnacentral:rRNA from 1 species